CACCCUUGUCCUUAUUUGCCAGCGGGUCAAGCCGGGAACUCUAGGGAGACUGCCGGUGACAAACCGGAGGAAGGUGGGGAUGACGUCAAGUCAUCAUGGCCCUCACGGGGUGGGCUACAAACGUGCUACAAUGGGCGGCACAGAGGGCUGCGAACCAGCAAUGGCAAGCGAAUCCCAAAAAACCGCUCGUAGUCCGGAUAGGAGUCUGCAACUCGACUCCUUGAAGUCGGAAUCGCUAGUAAUCGCGAAUCAGAAUGUCGCGGUGAAUACGUUCCCGGGCCUUGUACACA
rnacentral:rRNA from 1 species